UCCCAUGCGGACGCAGCUAGUGGGAAGAAGUCUAGGAGGAAGGCGCGCAUUACAAACAGCAGACAGAAGAGAGGUUAGAGUUAUAGAAAUAAAUACCGGCCUUUGCAAACUAAUAAAAGUGGGAUUAGAAUAUUAAGUGAGGGGUUUAAGAAUCCCAGUCCUUCCCCAGAAUAACCUUCAGAAACAGCUGGAGCUGCAUUCCACCAAAGCUGCCCAGAACAAACUGUCACUGCCAAAACCCAAACCAGGACCUUGAUCCAAUCCAGGCCUAUUGAAAUGGUGCCUGUCAACCUGGGAGCAAACAACCGAUUGCCUCAGGGUUUCUUGGACUGCUGGAAUGAGGGCAGGCAAAGCUUUUGACAUGCACCUUGCAACUACCCUAAGAGCCACUGCAUCUUUGCUUAUUGUAAAUAAAGGUAUAUAAUGGUUUAGGUGGGAUUUUUCACUCACUGCAAGAAUGGACAUUUACUACAAGCUGAGGUAGGAACACAACACCAAAAAAACUGUAGUUUCAACAACAGCACAAAACAAUAGUAAACUUAGGCUGCAUAUGUUUCUGGUAAAAUACCAAACCUCAAAUACAGUUUAAACCAUCUUGCUAAACUAUGUAAAAUAUAAAAUGAGUGAACCACCUCGACUGAAAUCCAUCAGACAUCAAUUGGGUAUCCAGUAUGUCUCUGAAAUAAACAAACAAGGUGGGAAUGUGCUUUGGCACAAGCAACACUCGGACUCAAAUUGUGGUGAAGAAAACUACAUCCAAAGAUUGCACAGCACAGUCUGUGUCUACCACAGCUUGAGAUUUUGCUUUUUUUACAUCUUUAUUGCUUUUUGAAUAGCUCUGCCUUAUGACAGUCCACAUUUUCAGAGCAGCACAGAGUGAAGUAAUUUGACGUUGACACUACAUUAUGCCUUUUUGGAACACAAUACAGAAAACUAGAUCGGCAACGAUCUCGGAGGGUGUUUUGUUUCCUUCAGGAGCCGGCCGUCUCGUGUCUUGACGUUUCACUGAGCCCAGUCAUCAAACAAGAGCAGAAAGAAAAUGAAACACAAACUGGGACAGCUGCUUUGGCUUCUUCAGGUUCAGUUUAUGGUUGGUUUAUGGUAUGGUUUCCAGAUGCGUUUCCAUUAACAUUGAAUAAGAAAAGUGCCGAUGAUACAUUUAAAUGAUACAUUUUUGUUUUCAAAUAAUUAUGUUUUCAAAGUAGUUUAAUAUUUUGAAUGGCUGUAACAUUGCUUAAGAUCUAAACUUCAUAUUUAAAUAAAUCAAACGUUUUUGUCUGCUCCUAACUUUUUUUUUUUAUAACGAAAGCUUUUAUUUAGUCUCAACUGCAUUUUCAAAAUGUCCUUUGCUGUUUUGCUGUUGAUAUUUAUCAGUUCAAUUGAAUCCAAUUAUUUCUUACCACAACGCUAUAGGUUCACUUCCUGAGUUACAUAUAAUAGGGCCCUAUCUGCAGCCUGUACUAAACUAUGUGGUCCUGUUAUCUGUAACACAAGAGCAAUGUGGCAGGACAACCAGGCUUCAUAGGAGUCCAACUGAAAAUAAACAAGUCUGAAAACAAAAAUACCAACAAUAAAAUUAUAUGGCUCUUGUUCACAUGCUUAUAAGAAUAGAUCAUUUUUUUAAAAGCCUUGUUUAGUACAACUUUAAUGCCUUUUUGUCAUAACCAUGGGGUACACACAUUCACACAGACACUGCUCAUACUGCAUAGAACAGCUCUGAGAGUAGAAAUAGCUGCUGCAGCUCUGGUCAUGUGAUAAGAGAACGUUCAGGGGAGCAGACAAGCAGGCACAGCUCUACCCGAUGAACUUGGUGACUUUCAAUGGCUUUCACCCAUGACUCUAUCAAUGAAGCCAUGUAAAGUGGGUGUAGGAUACCCAGAGACAGGUUCCCCUGGGAAGUCACAGAGUACACAGUGACCUAUCAUCACCCCCAACCCAAGGCACAGAGAAUAAGAGGGUAACUGAACAGGCUGGAUUGACCUCUGUUAGGGUGAACUCCCCCAGUAAGGGAUCUGUAGCACAGUGCCACCUAAACCCAUGCCAGGGCAUUGCUGGAGCUCUGAUCCUGAGAAAAGAGGGCCUCUACUGAGCUGACCACAGGAGUUCCAGUACUGGCCAGGGCCAAUAUUGACUUUAAGAACUGAUAGGCUCAGAAUUGAAUGUGGUCUGGCUUUAGGCAAUGGUUUCUGCUACAUGCGGCUGUUCUAUGAAAUUAUGAGCAACACACGUGUACAUCGGACCCCAUCCCAGUAGCUGCUUUUUCAUACUGCCACAAUAUAAUAUUAAUAAUUCCGAAAUCCCGGAACUCCUCACCUGCCCCCUUCUGCCACACUUGUUUUCUUUAAAAAAUAGCACUUCCUAUAGUCAUUUCAAAAUUAAAAAGCUCUAAUAGUUCUAUAAAUUGAACUUAUCAACUUUUCUUUUUUUUUCCAUAAUACACACAUUUCUUGAUAAAAUACUUCAGGGAUUUAUCCAGCAUUCAAAAGCUAAAAUGGCAGAGUUACUGCUUCCCCAUGAACUGUCAGUAAGUGCACUGCAGCCCCAUACCACUUCAUAUGAAGUUUUCUAUUAACUGAUAGAAAAACAUAUACCUGCAUUGCAUCUAUCUACAGUAUAUGCAAUUACGAGAACCCCACACAGUACUGUACUUUUUAAAAACCAAGUGAUCAGAAUGCAGCAAAAUCUGCUUAACAUGCACAGAUUGCAUUAUAACCAGGUUUAAUUUGCAGGGAAAGGGGCUCAGCUUAGUUGCAGUAGAGCAGAGUAGCAUUCUGAUGCUUGGUUGUCCUCGUUCCUGGAUUCGACUUCGGGUUUGUGACGAGUGUAUUAGAGGAAAUAGCCUUGUCAGACAUAAAGCUUUUGUGGACUUUCAGCUGAUAUUGAACUUGUUAUACCAUAGCAAGCUAUGUCCCUUUCACUGUAAAAUUUAACCCUAAAACAGUCCAUUAUCUGUGGCAUUUGCUGUCAAACAGCUGCAGUUGCUAGUUUGGGUUGGAUGUGUUCUCAUUGCUAAAUUGUGCUGGUAACCAAGUGGCUGCAAUAACAGUGCUGGAACCCUGCCGGCAAUGAAUCUGGAUAAACCCUUUUAAUCUCAGUUUACUCCUCUCCGUUAUCAAUGCUGUCUCACUCCUGAUCCACCACUAAGAGCUAAAAAUUAAGAGGCAGAAUUUCAUUUUGAAUAACAAAAUAACAUUUUCAGUUAAAAUAUUCAAGGGGAAAAAAAACAGUCAAUAUAUUAGGAAACAACUCGUUCUAUUACAAAAACUGCAGCAUACCAUUUUUUUUUCGGCAAAACAUUUCAUAAUUACAAAUUUACAGUUGCUGUUGAGCUAACCCCUCCAGAUUAACCAAUGAGUAUCCACUGUACUGAACCCUCAGAUUAACCAAUGAGUAUCCACUGUACUGAACCCCCAGAUUAACCAAUGAGUAUCCACUGUACUGAACCCCCAGAUUAACCAAUGAGUAUCCACUGUACUGAACCCCCAGAUUAACCAAUGAGUAUCCACUGUACUGAACCCCCAGAUUAACCAAUGAGUAUCCACUGUACUGAACCCCCAGAUUAACCAAUGAGUAUCCACUGUACUGAACCCCCAGAUUAACCAAUGAGUAUCCACUGUACUGAACCCCCAGAUUAACCAAUGAGUAUCCACUGUACUGAACCCCCAGAUUAACCAAUGAGUAUCCACUGUACUGAACCCCCAGAUUAACCAAUGAAUAUCCACUAUAGUGAACCCCCAGAUUAACCAAUGAGUAUCCACUGUACUGAACCCUCAGAUUAACCAAUGAGUAUCCACUGUACUGAACCCUCAGAUUAACCAAUGAGUAUCCACUGUACUGUGUUUUUUUUUUUUUUCAGUGCCUCUGCUUAUUUGUUUUUUUAACAUCUUUUCAAACAAAGCACUGACACACACACUCAUUCUAGAAAACUGAAGGUUUGAUUUUUUUCAUAGCUCUGUUAUAUUGCAUAACAAGCUAAACUGGAUCACCACUUUUCUACCAGUUACUGACAUUGCUAGAUCACACAACAGUACACCAUUGUAUCUAGUUUUUGUUAUUAUUAUUAUUAUUAUUAUUAUUAUUAUUAUUAUUAUUAUUAUUAUUAAUAAUAAUUUAAUCUGAGUUCUACUACAUAGCUUGCUACUGCCUACACAUAAUUAAAUUCUAUGAAAGUAAAGUUUAACCUCACAGUUAAAAGCCAGUGAAUAGAGGAUCAGUUUAAAACAUCUAUCGCUCCCUCCCUCUCAAAAGCUAAUACCACUACCCUGCUGGUUGAAUUGAUUCAUUCAUUAAACACAUGAUAUUAUAUAUGCCCAUUCUAAAUGAACAUAUUAAGCUCAGUACCACGGCCCAGCGUUUCAGUGGGUGUAGCCACCCCACCCCACAUUGCAGUCUCCUGCAUCGUUCAAUAUUGUAUUCAACGGAUCCCAACUUCAUUGCAACCUUGAAAAACACCUGAAAUAAAUCUUGUUGGCAUCAGUAGCUUGUAACCUGGGAUCCGGUUGCUUCUUCAAAGCCACCAAAAAAAUCCACAGAAUCAAGACUUUAAAACGGGAGUUCCUCACUCCACUGAAAAUAAAACGGACGAUUUUUUUCUUUCAAUUUAAAACCUCAUUUGUUUUUCCGUUACUGCUCAAAACCACAGUCACAACACACUUGAAAUAUAGAAGCAUCUCUGGCUCACUUUUGUAUGCUUAACAUGUUGUAAAAUUAAAUCAAAUUUUCAAUCAAAAUAAAUAAAUAGAAAAUAAAGAAGGCAUCAUUUUUUCUUUCUCCA